rnacentral:rRNA from 1 species
GCAUCCUCUUGUUAUUAAAGAAUUUCGAUAAUCGAUGGGGAUGCGUUCCAUUAGUUUGUUGGCGGGGUAACGGCCCACCAAGACAUCGAUGGAUAGGGGUUCUGAGAGGAAGGUCCCCCACAUUGGAACUGAGACACGGUCCAAACUCCUACGGGAGGCAGCAGUGAGGAAUAUUGGUCAAUGGACGAGAGUCUGAACCAGCCAAGUAGCGUGAAGGAUGACUGCCCUAUGGGUUGUAAACUUCUUUUAUAUGGGAAUAAAGUGAGCCACGUGUGGCUUUUUGUAUGUACCAUACGAAUAAGGAUCGGCUAACUCCGUGCCAGCAGCCGCGGUAAUACGGAGGAUCCGAGCGUUAUCCGGAUUUAUUGGGUUUAAAGGGAGCGUAGGCGGAUUACUAAGUCAGUUGUGAAAGUUUGCGGCUCAACCGUAAAAUUGCAGUUGAUACUGGUAGUCUUGAGUGCAGCAGAGGUAGGCGGAAUUCGUGGUGUAGCGGUGAAAUGCUUAGAUAUCACGAAGAACUCCGAUUGCGAAGGCAGCUCACUGGACUGUAACUGACGCUGAUGCUCGAAAGUGUGGGUAUCAAACAGGAUUAGAUACCCUGGUAGUCCACACAGUAAACGAUGAAUACUCGCUGUUUGCGAUAUACAGUAAGCGGCC